rnacentral:rRNA from 1 species
GACAGAGGUGGCAAGCGUUGUUCGGAUUUACUGGGCGUAAAGAGCGCGUAGGCGGUUGCAUAUGUCAGAUGUGAAAUCCCAGGGCUUAACCCUGGAAUGGCAUUUGAAACUGUGCGACUUGAGGACAGGAGGGGGAAGUGGAAUUCCCGGUGUAGUGGUGGAAUGCGUAGAUAUCGGGAGGAACACCAGUGGCGAAGGCGGUUGCCUGGAGCUUUGCUGACGCUGAGGCGCGAAAGCGUGGGGAGCGAUCCGG